UGAUUUACAGCCGCCAUUAUGUUGAAAGAAGAGGAAGACGGCCGAUGGCGGGGAAAACAAGCAGCAGUUUCUGCGGACAAACAUGAAUUUAUUGAAUAUAUAAAAACAGAACUUAAACAAUCUGCCGCUGCGAAGACACUGAAGCUAGCUUAAGGAGAAGCACCUGGCCGGGAGGUAACGUUAACGACCCUGGGUGAAACAAUGGAUCAGACCUGUUUAAUGUACCUGAGUAUCAUCAUGGUGGAUCUACACAACACCUGGUUAAAGGAACCAAAAAGUGACUCAGUGACUGAAGACGUGAGGAAGGUCUGGACCUCUGGAGCAGUCAGGAGUCUUCAGGUCCUCGUUAAAAAUGGAGGUGAUGCUGGACUCCACACAGACGGUAAACCUCUGCUUUCACCCUGAUGUUAGACCUUCAGCAGCUGAUUGGUCGACCCAGUCCCACACAUGGAUGGAGCCGUCUGAGGCUGCGGACAGCAGUGUCCGUGAACGUUCGGGGUGCCAGACGUGGGAGGUAACAAAGACGUCGUCACCAGACUGCGAUGAAACGGCGUGACCACGAUGCUCGAACAGCGGCUGAACUUCCUGCAGCUCGUUCCUCCAGACGGAUGUGUUGUAGAGCUGAACGGCUCCACUGAAACCUGCAGACAUGAGGACUUUAAAAUCAUUCAUCUGAAACUUUACGUCCAACUCCACCUCUCUUCUCCCUCUCCAUUUCUACCUCUCUUCUCCCUCUCUUACCUCUCCCUACCUCUAUUUCUACCUCUAACUCCACCUCUCCCUCCUUUUCUACCUCUAGCUCUCUUCCUCUCCCUUCAGGUCUACCUCUCUCUCCGUUUCGUACCUCUACUUCUCUCCAUUUCUACCUCCAACUCUACCUCUCCAUCUCUACCUGCAGUACUACCCCUACCUCCAACAGCACAUUUCUCUCUAUGUACCUCCAGCUGUAACUCUACCCCUUCUACCUCUUGCUUUAACUCUACUUCAUCUUCCAGCUCAAACACCCGCUCUUUUUCUUCCUCUAGCUUGACCUCCCUUCCUACUUCUACCUCCAGCUCUGUCCCUUUCUUUAUUUACACUUCUCCCAAGAGUUAUAUGAGAAGAUCAACACCACUCAUGUCACGUCUCAUUUAGCAUAAACAAUACUUUUUUACUUUGUUGCUCAGAUUAAACAAACUGAUGAAACAUGUUAAUGAGUGAACUUUACAGGUCCAGCAGUUUCUCCUUGCUGCUCAGCUAACUGGCUGCUGCUGUAAUUUCAUGUGGAACGGACAGACAGAGUGGUAUUGAUCUUCUUGUCCAACUCUCAGCAACAAAGUGUUUUUCAAAAAUGUCAAACUGUCUCUUUACAUCAACAGCUGGAUCACCGUGUUGCUGUGAACUCACCUGAC